GAACAGACUACAGCAGAAGGUCACCAACAGGUUUUCAAUGCAGCAAGAAAUUCCCUUACCCAGAGGCGUCCUUCAGCUGGCCCCUAAACAAAUAUAUAUACUAGUUCAGUGAUAAUAAAUGCCAUACUAAAUUCCAUUUUCUAUUUCUUAGAAACCAAAAGCAAUAGGUCAACUGUAUUGAAUGAUUGUAAGGUGUACAUAUAUUUCUUGUUUGGUUUAUCUGACCUUGGUCUCAUUUUCUAGGAUCAUGUUAAGUUGUUGUGAUACUUGUAGUAAAGCUUUAUAUUAAGGACUAUCAACAUAAAAUCAAUGGUUAUUAAAAAAGAUGAGACAUUUCAGUGUGUGCACUCUUUGUUAUUGUAGUUAUACUACAUUCAUUGAAAAGUUAGAAAAGAAUUGGCAACAAAAUAUUUAUUAUUUUUUAACACCAUUUUUUGUGUGAAUUGAAGAUUACACUCAUCGUAUUGGAAGAACUGGUCGUGCUGGCAAGACUGGUACAGCUAUUACAUUCCUGACCAAAAAUGAUAGUUUUGUGUUCUAUGACUUGAAGCAGGCUUUGAUAAAUAGCCCUGUGUCACAUUGUCCACCAGAACUUGCAAGCCAUCCUGAUGCUCAGCACAAGCCAGGAUUAGUUGUUCAGAAGAAGAGAAAAGAUGAGACUAUUUUUCUGAGCUAAAUUACAUACAUUUAUACAUUGUAUAGUAAUGUUGGUCCGACAUGUUUAAAGAUAUCCAAGAUUGUUAUGACCAAGGACUGUAUAAUUUGAAUUUUGUCUUUGGCAAAUAUGUAUUUUGUGAAUGCAUACAUGUUUCAUAUGAUGGGAUAUUGAUGUAAUGAUAAGUAUAGAUGCAGAUGGAAGAUUUACUGUAUAUUACACACUACUAUAGUGUGGUCGCUGUGUAUAAUAUUUUUGAUACUGCAACUUCUUUUAAAAAUUGUACUGAAAAAAUUUAACUACAUACAACUUAAUUUUCAGAAUACAUUUGUGUAUAAAGCUGAGUUUGUUUUAUUGUAGUUUUAACCCACACAGUACAUUUGUUAUUACAUAAGCUAAUUUGAAUUAUGUUAAAUUGAUAAUAUCAUUACACAUUCAUGAACUAUGUAAUGUUUUGUCAUGUUAAUGGAUACCCUUCAUGAAUGAUAUGUUGUAAAUGUUAUGAAUAAAUCAUAGAAAUAUAAGUAGCUAUUGUGAUGAUUUACUGUAUAUGAAAUUACCACCUCCUCUAUUUAUCAAUAUAAGACAACGCUGUGGAUUUUUUUUUAGUCUAGCAAUUCACUGUUUAAGGUUACAACAAAAGAUUGAAUUACUGACAAUUUAAUCUGUUCCUUAAUGGCCCACCUUGCCAAAUGACCAGAG
rnacentral:lncRNA from 1 species